CUUUUUUUUUUUUUUUAUGCUGGUAAUUGGUGCUUUAUUACAAACUAGUUUCCCCCCAAAUCCCUUGAUGUUAAUUGUGUAAUUCUAAGAAUUGAUGUGUAUGUUUCUUUACUAUUAAGAAAUAUACAUUUAAGGUUGUUUUAAAUCAUAAUUGGUAAUUACAGAAGCCUUACUAGUUUUAGCUCUUAUGUCCCCUGACAGUUCAGUUCAAUUUGAAAACAUGUUCACAUUCCAUGGUCUUUUAAUCAACUAACAAAAUAAUGGUACAUUAAUAAAAUGAUUUAGAAAAUUCUAUUCUAUUAACAGUAUCAGAAUUUAUUUUUCUGACCAUUAAGGUUUUUAUAAAGUGAUUAAAAUGUG